rnacentral:rRNA from 1 species
ACAGAGGGUGCGAGCGUUGUCCGGAAUCACUGGGCGUAAAGGGCGCAUAGGUGGCCACGAUAAGGCCGCGGUGAAAGCUUGGGGCUCAACCCCAGGUCGGCCGCGGCGACUGUCGGGCUUGGGCACUGUGGAGGCAGAUGGAAUUCCGGGUGUAGCGGUGGAAUGCGUAGAGAUCCGGAAGAACACCAGUGGCGAAGGCGGUCUGCUGGGCAGUGGGAGCUUUGGCUCCCGUUAAGCCGACACUGAGGCGCGACAGCGUGGGGAGCAAACAGGA